rnacentral:rRNA from 1 species
GACGAACGCUGGCGGCGUGCCUAAUACAUGCAAGUCGAGCGGAGUAAAAGCGUGCUUGCACGGUUUUUAUUUAGCGGCGAACGGGUGAGUAACACGUAGGUAACCUGGCCAUAAGACAGGGAUAACGCACGGAAACGUGAGCUAAAACCAGAUAGGCAUUUUCCACGCAUGAGGGAGAUGAGAAAGGCGGAGCAAUCUGCCGCUUAUGGAUGGACCUGCGUCGCAUUAGCUAGUUGGAGUGGUAAAGGCACACCAAGGCGACGAUGCGUAGCCGACCUGAGAGGGUGAGCGGCCACACUGGGACUGAGACACGGCCCAGACUCCUACGGGAGGCAGCAGUAGGGAAUCUUCCGCAAUGGACGAAAGUCUGACGAGCAACGCCGCGUGAGUGAAGAA